rnacentral:rRNA from 1 species
UACGGAGGGUGCAAGCGUUAAUCGGAAUUACUGGGCGUAAAGCGCACGCAGGCGGUCAAUUAAGUCAGAUGUGAAAGCCCCGGGCUUAACUUGGGAAUUGCAUCUGAAACUAGCUGACUUGAGUUCAGAAGAGGAAAGUAGAAUUCCAUGUGUAGUGGUGAAAUGCGUAGAGAUGUGGAAGAAUACCGGUGGCGAAGGCGGCCCUCUGGACUAAGAUUGACGCUCAGGUGCGAAAGCGUGGGGAGCAAACAGG